GGCUCCUCUGUGAGAGCUCAGCGCCAAAGCUGGAGGGUGCCGGGGUGGCACCUUGUGUCCCCGUGAGCCCAUCCUGCAAUUCAUCCUCGCCUCCCUGGAACCUCCUGGAAGAAAGCUGAUUUUUUGGUAGGCAGUCUGUCCUUGGCUCUAAGCUGUAUCUCCUGAGGUUUAAAGAAGAGCAGAAGUUCAGCUUGUGACAGAAUUGGAAACAAUGUGAUACCAUGAUGGAAAUCCAGCUCUCUCCUCCUAGUGCCAAAUGAUGGUUUGCUACAGACCCGUGGGAGAAGAGAUACCCUCAGAGCUUUCCCAGGAAGUUAAGCUGGCGCAGACACAGAAUAAAAGAGGGAUGAGAGAGCCUA